AUUCCAUGUGUAGCGGUGAAAUGCGCAGAGAUAUGUAGGAACACCAGUGGCGAAGGCGACUUUCUGGUCUGUAACUGACGCUGAUGUGCGAAAGCGUGGGGAUCAAACAUGAUUAGAUACCCUGGUAGUCCACGCCGUAAACGAUGAGUGCUAAGUGUUAGGGGGUUUACGCCCCUUAGUGCUGCAGCUAACGCAUUAAGCACUCCGCCUGGGGAGUACGACCGCAAGGUU
rnacentral:rRNA from 1 species